CCUACGGGUGGCAGCAGUAGGGAAUAUUGCUCAAUGGGGGAAACCCUGAAGCAGCAACGCCGCGUGGAGGAUGAAGGUUUUCGGAUUGUAAACUCCUGUUGUUAGAGAAGAUAAUGACGGUAUCUAACGAAUAAGCACCGGCUAACUCCGUGCCAGCAGCCGCGGUAAUACGGAGGGUGCAAGCGUUACUCGGAAUCACUGGGCGUAAAGAGCGCGUAGGCGGGGUAGCAAGUCAGAUGUGAAAUCCUAGGGCUUAACCAUAGAACUGCAUUUGAAACUGUUAUUCUAGAGUAUGGGAGAGGUAGGUGGAAUUCUUGGUGUAGGGGUAAAAUCCGUAGAGAUCAAGAGGAAUACUCAUUGCGAAGGCGACCUGCUAGAACAUAACUGACGCUGAUGCGCGAAAGCGUGGGGAGCAAACAGGAUUAGAUACCCCUGUAGUC
rnacentral:rRNA from 1 species